AAGACCAAGAGACAAAUAGAACCACAGGGGGAACGGACGGAUGGUUUGGGUUGGAUCAGGAGCCUCUGGAGGAAGAAAAAAGACUUGGAUUCGCCUGAUUAGGAGCAGAACCAACUAAUGGAGCAAGCAAGGUUUACUAAUAACUCACCAACGCGAACUAAUGGAGCAAGCAAGGUUUACUAAUAACUCACCAACGCGAGGGGAAAUCAAUCCGAUUCGGAUAUUUUUCUAGCCCGCUCCCAAGCCGGUUUGGCACCAGUGC
rnacentral:lncRNA from 1 species